rnacentral:rRNA from 1 species
CCUACGGGCGGCAGCAGUGAGGAAUAUUGGUCAAUGGGCGCGAGCCUGAACCAGCCAAGUCGCGUGAGGGAAGACGGUCCUAUGGAUUGUAAACCUCUUUUGUAGGGGAGCAAAAGACGCCAGGCGUGGCGUUCCGAGAGUACCCGAAGAAAAAGCAUCGGCUAACGCCGUGCCAGCAGCCGCGGUAAUACGGAGGAUGCGAGCGGUAUCCGGAUUUAUUGGGAUUAAAGGGAGGGCAGGCGGACGAUCAAGUGUGCGGUAAAAUGGUGAGGCUCACCCUCUUCGAGCGGUUGAUACUGGUUUUCGUGAGUGAGUGAGAAGUAUGCGGAAUGCGUGGUGUAGCGGUGAAAUGCAUAGAUAUCACGAAGAACUCCGAUUGCGAAGGCAGCAUCCCGGCGCUCAACUGACGCUCAUGCACGAAAGUGUGGGUAUCGAACAGGAUUAGAUACCCCAGUAGUC